CUGUGGAAAGUUACUUCUUCAAAAGCAAAAGUAUCUCAUAUCAUCUCUUAUCCAUUUGCUUCUCCUUAUCCUGACAGUUGAAUGAGAGACAAGGAGAAGAAGAACAAUCAACCGGAAGCCGAGGUCAAAUCUCUGAUCCUGGGUUGCUUACGUGGAAGUUUGACUGCUUACCUUGUCUGUCACCUCUUUCGGCAGAUCUCCU
rnacentral:lncRNA from 1 species